UACAGAGGGUGCGAGCGUUAAUCGGAAUUACUGGGCGUAAAGCGCGCGUAGGCGGCUUUUCAAGUCGAUUGUGAAAUCCCCGGGCUUAACCUGGGAACUGCAGUCGAGACUGUCUAGCUAGAGUAUGGGAGAGGGAAGUGGAAUUUCAGGUGUAGCGGUGAAAUGCGUAGAUAUCGGGAAGAACACCCGUGGCGAAGGCGGCUACUCGUCGGGACGGUACUGGACGCUGAGACGCGAAAGCGUGGGGAGCGAACAGG
rnacentral:rRNA from 1 species